rnacentral:rRNA from 1 species
GACGAACGCUGGCGGCGUGCUUAACACAUGCAAGUCGAACGGAAAGGCCCCCUUGUGGGGUACUCGAGUGGCGAACGGGUGAGUAACACGUGAGUAACCUACCCUUGACUUUGGGAUAACUUCAGGAAACUGGGGCUAAUACCGGAUAGGAGCUCCUGCUGCAUGGUGGGGGUUGGAAAGUUUCGGCGGUUGGGGAUGGACUCGCGGCUUAUCAGCUUGUUGGUGGGGUAGUGGCUCACCAAGGCUUUGACGGGUAGCCGGCCUGAGAGGGUGACCGGCCACCUUGGGACUGGGGUACGGCCCCGACUCCUACGGGAGGCAGCAGUGGGGAAUAUUGCACAAUGGGCGGAAGCCUGGUGCAGCCACGCCGCGUGCGGGAUGACGGCCUUCGGGUUGGAAACCGCUUUCGCCUGUGACGAAGCGUGAGUGACGGUAAUGGGUAAAGAAGCACCGGCUAACUACGUG